UGAGCCAUUAGCUCAGCUGGUAGAGCAUCUGACUUUUAAUCAGAGGGUCAGAGGUUCGAAUUCUCUAUGGCUCAU
rnacentral:tRNA from 1 species